rnacentral:rRNA from 1 species
CGUGUAGGUGGUUCGUUAAGUCGCCGGUGAAAGCCCCUGGCUCAACUGGGGGAGGUCUGGCGAAACUGGCGGACUCGAGGGUCCGAGAGGAAGGUGGAAUUCCCGGUGUAGCGGUGGAAUGCGUAGAGAUCGGGAGGAACACCAGUGGCGAAGGCGGCCUUCUGGCGGGCAUCUGACACUGAGACGCGAAAGCGUGGGUAGCAAACGGGAUUAGAUACCCCGGUAGUCCACGCCCUAAACGAUGCAGGCUAGGUGUUGGUGGGAUUUCCCAUCCGUGCCGUAGCGAACGCGUUAAGCCUGCCGCCUGGGGACUACGAGCGCAAGCUUAAA